AAACGAUGCCAACCAGUAAUUAAGCUGUGUUCCUUAAAUGACACGCUUAGGGACUUCCGGGAAACCAAAGUCUUUCGGUUCCAGGGGAAGUAUGGUUGCAAAGCUGAAACUUAAAGAAAUUGACGGAAGGGCACCACCAGGAGUGGAGCCUGCGGCUUAAUUUGACUCAACACGGGAAAACUCACCCGGCCCGGACACUGGAAGGAUUGACAGAUUGAGAGCUCUUUCUUGAUUCAGUGGGUGGUGGUGCAUGGCCGUUCUUAGUUGGUGGAGUGAUUUGUCUGGUUAAUUCCGAUAACGAACGAGACUCUAGCCUACUAAAUAGAUCGUCGGCUUACAAACGCCGGCGAGACUUCUUAGAGGGACAGGCGGUGAUUCAACCGCACGAAACAGAGCAAUAACAGGUCUGUGAUGCCCUUAGAUGUCCGGGGCCGCACGCGCGCUACACUGAAGUGAUCAGCGUGCUUUUUCAACCUACUCUGUCAAGAGUGGGGAACCCAAUGAACCUUCUUCGUGAUUGGGAUAGGGGAUUGUAAUUAUUCCCCUUGAACGAGGAAUUCCCAGUAAGCGCGAGUCAUAAGCUCGCGUUGAUUACGUCCCUGCCCUUUGUACACACCGCCCGUCGCUACUACCGAUUGAAUGUUUUAGUGAGGUCUUCGGACUGGCCGGCGCAGCUCUCUCGUAGUGCAGCGCUGUGUUUGGAAAGAUGCCCAAACUUGAACAUUUAGAGGAAGUAAAAGUCGUAACAAGGUUUCCGUAGUGAACCUGCGGAAGGAUC
rnacentral:rRNA from 1 species